rnacentral:rRNA from 1 species
GUCCACGCUGUAAACGAUGAGUGCUAGGUGUCGUGGGUUUUGACCCCUGCGGUGCCGUAGCUAACGCGUUAAGCACUCCGCCUGGGGAGUACGGCCGCAAGGCUAAAACUCAAAGGAAUUGACGGGGCCCGCACAAGCGGUGGAGCAUGUGGUUUAAUUCGACGCAACGCGCAGAACCUUACCUGGGCUAGAAAAGGCGAGAAACCCUCAGAAACGAGGGUGUGCCCGCAAGGGAGCUCGUAUUCAGGUGCUGCAUGGCUGUCGU